CGGUUCAUUUUGACGCCAUUCAAAGAAUCACAAAGAAUAGUUGGCCUCAAAAAAGCUUCUUUUGUGGUGUUGACAGUUUUUUUUAAAAGCAACGUCGUAGAAAUGUCUAAAUAUUGCAUAUGGGUUAUCAAUUAUCAUCGAAUAAACACAAAAAAGGCAGAUUUUCAAUUCUGCAUUUCGAAGAUGAUUAAGAACAAGUUGUUUGGCAUCGAUGAGCAGCAGUGAUUUCUUCAACAAGAUGGUGUGCCACCAUACUAUGCCCUUCCUGUUCAAGCUUAUUUAAACCAGUUAUUUUUCACAAGAUGGAUUGGAAGAACAAGGCCAAUUGAGUGGCCAGGAAUAUCUCCAGAUUUGAUUCCACUGGACUUGUUCCUUUAGGAUAACUGCAUGGAUAUUUAAAGAGCAAAGUUUAUACCACUGGAACCAAUACUUUGGAUGAACAAAUAAUCAGAAUCCAAGAAGAAGUUGUCAGGAAGAAUUUCAAAAUCAUUGCUGAUAAGCAGCUGCUCAAGGUGGGGCCAGUUCUCUAAAAGUAUAGAUUGUCUCAGUUGUGCACUGUUUAAUCUCGCACUGAAAUCACAAACACCCUCAAGAAAGUUAUUUUGUUUAACAAUUAAAUGACAUCAAUUAUGGUUUUCCUGUAAUCUAAUUUUUGAAGACAAUUCUUCAGUUUAACAGCUUUUGAGCGAAAUGUAUGGAUUUAAGAUAGUCAAUCAUUGUGCAACUAAAAUGGGACCAUUACGUUGAUAAUAAAUAUUUCGUCUGAUAUUCAAUGGAACUUCCUUCAGUAGGUCUAUCAAAUUAAAUUCGGAAUAUGAAAAUUGAUGCUGAACGUGACUUUCUACUGUCACAUCUGGGUUAUUAUCAGACCAACAUAAAUUUGAUUAUUAUUUCCACAAUAUGCUGCUGAGAUGUCUCAAUGAUUACACAUACUUGUGAAAUGUAGUUAGGAACCAGUCUUUUUUGGCUGUGCUAUGGAUAGGUACACAAGCGUUUUACCAAGAAUGAUUUCCCAAGAACUUGAAUAAUUCUUUGCGGAACGCAUGUGUAUGUGCAACCUGUACAUUUUGGGAUCUGCUUUUUCGAUCAAAAUGUACUUCUUCCUUAUAACUCUGCAUAUUCUUCUGUGUACUGGAUAUUAUAUAACUGUUUCCACAAUUAUUUGAAGUUGUUGAAACUUCUGUAUAAGAAUCAUUUUUAAAAUUAUAACCAAGAACACAAAUAUUAAUAAUAUAAGUUUCACCCCAUGUUUUGAAUGUCAUGAAUGUAUAUCAUGAUGCUAUCAUGCUUGAGUCAUGAUGCCCAAUGUCCUUAAUAAUUGUUCGAAAAGGACUCGUCUUGGCCAAAGAAAUUAAGAUAAGAAGAUUUGUUGUUAUUUUAUAAUGUAUUAUAUUAUUGAAAUAUGAAAUAUAGAGUAAUUAUUCAUUUGA